UCUUAGGGAUGCUAGGGUUCCGGUUCGUCAGAACGUCUGGUCCGAGAGCAGCCCGGCGCGUUUUCAGGCGGCCGUCAGGCCGGGUGGAUGCGCGCUACACGGCGGGACAAAAGCCCGGGAGAU
rnacentral:sRNA from 2 species